rnacentral:rRNA from 1 species
GACGAACGCUGGCGGCGUGCCUAAUACAUGCAAGUAGGACGCAGUUGCGAAUGGGUGAGUAACGCGUAGGUGACUACCUAUUAGAGUGGUAUAACUAUUGGAAACGAUAGCUAAUACCGCAUACUAGUAGUUAGACCUUCGUUGUAUUAGGUAGUAGGUAGGGUAAUGGCCUACCUCGGCAACGAUACAUAUCCGCGCUGAGAGGGGGAUCGGCCAAACUGGGGCUGGGACAAGGCCCAGACUCCUACGGGAGGGAGCAGUAGGGAAUCAUUGGCAAUUGGGGGAACGCUGGACGAGCAACUGCGCGUGAGAGAAGAAGGUUUUUGGGGCGGAAAGGUCUGUUGUGAAGGAAGCGGUACUUAACGAAAAAGGGACGGCUAACUACGUGCCAGCAGCCGCGGUAAUUC